GAAACUUGAUACUCUAUAAAAAUCAACUAAUUUCUGGAAUUUUUCAAACAAGACUGCUAACAGAAAAAUAUUUGACCGUAACAUUUUCUACUGUUUGAUUUUAUAAAGCUAACAAGAUGUCGAUUGUCCUACCGCAGUUUUGUCUGGAAAAAGAAUGUGCUGAGGAAAUGGUUAUGUUUGCUGGAAACUCCAUCCAACCGAUAAAUUUGCCGUUAAUUACAGAACAAGACAAUGUUUUAGUGAUGCCAUUAUCCACAAAAUCAGAAGUUGUAUGUUUCUUUAGAAACGGACAGAAAUUACAUGGAAAUGGACAAUAAACUUGUGAAAAAGUAAGGAAACAAACAGCUCAUCCGUCCACUUAUCGUUAUGUUAUUAUUGUUGUGAAGUUAAACUCAGGGAGAUAUCUAAACUGGCAUCUUAUAAAUCCUGUUAUUUUGUUAAUAUUCAUCAACUCAUUUCAUCAGUGUCAGUGAGUCCAUUAUUUGCGUCACCACCUUCCAAAUACUUCAGAUGUUUUCCAAGAUUAUCAUCUACGCAUAACAAACAUUGCUAACAAGACUGGAAUACUUGUAUGACAUGUUCUGAUUGGAGUAAGCGUCGACAUAAAGCAUUAUGUGGCAGGGUGAAUGCAGAAUUUCCUUUUUAAGACCUUGUAUGUCAGUUUAGAAACAUUCCGAUGAUAUUUAUUGUCUUAUUUUCUGUUUUAGUGUACAUCUAUAGAUGAUAAAGUUGUUUUUUGUUUACAAACUGUUGAAUUUUUGUUUGUUAAUUUUAUUGAAAUAAAAUGCUAUUUAUUGAU